AUACGGAGGAUCCGAGCGUUAUCCGGAUUUAUUGGGUUUAAAGGGAGCGUAGGCGGGAGAUCAAGUCAGCUGUGAAAUGUAGAUGCUCAACAUCUGCACUGCAGUUGAAACUGGUUUUCUUAAGUGCGUAAGGGGCAGGCGGAAUUCGUCGUGCAGCGGUGAAAUGCAUAGAUAUCACGAAGAACUCCGAUCGCGAAGGCAGCCUUCCGGCCCGUCAACGACGCUCAUGCUCGAAGGUGCGGGUAUCAAACAGGAUUAGAUACCCUGGUAGUCCGCACAGUAAACGAUGGACACCCGCGGUUUGGCCUGUAUGGCUGAGCCGCCAAGCGAAAGCGUUAAGUGUCCCACCUGGGGAGUACGCCGGCAACGGUGAAACUCAAAUGAAUUGACGGGG
rnacentral:rRNA from 1 species